AGCUCCAGCAUCUUCCAUCCCAUGUCAUCCCAGCUGCUUCACACAGAUCAGAUUAUAUAAGAAACCAUUUCACUGAAUCCUUAGCACUUCCUGUGCUUUGCAGUCUCUUGAAGUUCAUGAGGGGAACUGGGACAAGGACAAGAUUGAGAAGGAGAGGAGAAAAAGUCUGGAUCAAACACUCCAUGAAAGCAUGCAUGAGAAACUGACGAGCAUGGAUGUAGAAAUGGAGAAGAUGGAGAAGAGACAAAAAUGGGAAGCUCAGAAAUGGUCAUGGAGAAAGCUGUGGACUGAAAGAAUGGCAACCCUGUGGGAAAAACCUAAGUAUAUGCCCACAAGCAAAAAUGUCUUUCAAUUGUG